AGAGUUUGAUCCUGGCUCAGAUUGAACGCUGGCGGCAUGCCUUACACAUGCAAGUCGAACGCGAAAGGGGGCAACCCCGAGUAGAGUGGCGAACGGGUGAGCAAUACAUCGGAACACGUCCUGUAGCGGGGGACAACCCCGAGAAAUCGGGGCUAAUACCGCAUACGAUCUACGGAUGAAAGUGGGGGACCGCAAGGCCCCACACUAUAGGAGUGGCCGAUGCCGGAUUAGCUAGUUGGUGGGGUAAAAGCCUACCAAGGCGACGAUCCGUAGCUGGUUUGAGAGAACGACCAGCCACACUGGGACUGAGACACGGCCCAGACUCCUACGGGAGGCAGCAGUGGGGAAUUUUGGACAAUGGGCGAAAGCCUGAUCCAGCCAUGCCGCGUGAGUGAAGAAGGCCUUCGGGUUGUAAAGCUCUUUCGGCGGGGACGAAAUAGCGCGGGGUAAUAUCCCGCGUCGAUGACGGUACCCGAAGAAGAAGGACCGGCUAACUACGUGCCAGCAGCCGCGGUAAUACGUAGGGUCCAAGCGUUAAUCGGAAUUACUGGGCGUAAAGCGUGAGUAGGCGGUUUCGCAAGUCCGAUGUGAAAUCCCCGGGCUUAACCUGGGAACUGCGUUGGAAACUACGAAGCUAGAGUGCGGCAGAGGGGGGUGGAAUUCCAGGUGUAGCAGUGAAAUGCGUAGAGAUCUGGAGGAACACCGAUGGCGAAGGCAGCCCCCUGGGUUAGCACUGACGCUCAUACACGAAAGCGUGGGGAGCAAACAGGAUUAGAUACCCCUGUAGUCC
rnacentral:rRNA from 1 species